rnacentral:lncRNA from 1 species
CUCGAACUCCCAACCUCAAGUGAUCCGCCCGCCUUGGCCUCCCAAAGUGCUGGGAUUACAAGUGUGAGCCACUGCGCCCAGCCACUAACAUGUUGUUGUCUAUAAAUCAUUUGUGUCUAUUGUAAGUGUGACUAGUCAUAAGCUUUCCAUUGCUCAGUUUUUUUGGGGGUUUGUUUUUUUUUGAGACGGAGUUUCACUCUUGUUGCCCAGGCUGGAGUGCAGUGGCGCAAUCUCAGCUCACUGCAGUCUCCGCCUCCCUUUAAGCGAUUCUCCUGACUCUCAGCCUCCUGAGUAGCUGGGAUUACAGGCAUGCACCCCCAUGCCCGGCUAAUUUUGUAUUUUUAGUAGAGACGGGGUUUCACCAUGUUGGUCAAGCUGGUCUCGAACUACUGACCUCAAGUGAUACACCUGUCUCAGCCCCCAAAGUGCUGGGAUUACAGGCGUGAGCCAUCGCACGCGGCUGCUCACUUAGUUUAGGUACUUUCCACUGUUUAUGUCUUAAAACUAACGAUGACAUCUGGACUUUGGACUAGAAACGUCAAGCUGAUGAAGUCGUUUGUUCUUGUGUGCUUCUGUGAUGAUCCAUGGAGGAGCUUAAGUCUAAAGAUUGCCAUUUUGCUAUAGCUUUCAGGAAGAGAAAAUAAAAAGUAAAAUACAAAUUGAAGCAUGUUCUCAGUUUACAGUCAUAAUUCUAGCUGAGCAUUAGCGGACAGAAUGUUAAUACUUUGGAAUCCACCAAGGCCAUUUCUGCAUCUGCCCCAGAACAACACAAAUGCACAGGACUUUUGUUCCAGCGUGAUUCAUUUAGCUACAGUCAAGACCUUUGGCUGGUCAGGCAUUGUAUCUGUUACUUCUUAUGUUUUAUGUGCACAGUGUUCUAUAGUUUUAUCAUGAAUUGAAAGGUUAAGUUUCAAGUUCCUUCCCAUUCCACAGAAAAAUAUCCAGAAACUUUCCUAGUUCCUAUGUCUUUAUACUAUAAAAUUUCCUAAGAUCAUUUUUAUGUUUUUUUUUUUCUACUCUUUAAAAAUAGCUGUAGUUACAGUGUCAAAUUAGAACGGGGAACAAGGUGCUGAUGUGAUUCUGGUUGGACACUGUCUUGAAGGAUCUGGGUGAAUCACCAACUUAAAAUCUCAUGUUCUGAGCUCUACUUCCAUGGAAAAAAUACCAGCUUUAUCUUUCCGAUGGGCAUAUUGUGGGAUUUAAUGGAUUUCAAAAAUGUUCAUAAAAUUUUGGGAAAGAAACUAUUAAAAUGGGACUUUAAAGUUCCUUUUAUAACUAACCAUAAUAUCAACUGCCUUUGCACUUUGUAAAAACCGGAAUG